GACGAACGCUGGCGGCGUGCUUAACACAUGCAAGUCGAGCGGUAAGGCCCUUUCGGGGGUACACGAGCGGCGAACGGGUGAGUAACACGUGGGUGACCUGCCCUUAGCUCUGGGAUAAGCCUGGGAAACUGGGUCUAAUACCGGAUAUGACUCCAUGACGCAUGUUGUGGGGUGGAAAGCCUUGUGCGGCUAGGGAUGGGCCUGCGGCCUAUCAGCUUGUUGGUGGGGUGAUGGCCUACCAAGGCGACGACGGGUAGCCGGCCUGAGAGGGCGACCGGCCACACUGGGACUGAGACACGGCCCAGACUCCUACGGGAGGCAGCAGUGGGGAAUCUUGCGCAAUGGGCGAAAGCCUGACGCAGCGACGCCGCGGGG
rnacentral:rRNA from 1 species